rnacentral:rRNA from 1 species
GACGAACGCUGGCGGCGUGCUUAACACAUGCAAGUCGAGCGGUAAGGCUCCUUCGGGAGUACACGAGCGGCGAACGGGUGAGUAACACGUGAGCAAUCUGCCCUUCACACGGGGAUAACUCCGGGAAACCGAAGCUAAUACCCGAUACGACCACUUCAGGCAUCUGAUGGUGGUGGAAAGUUCCGGCGGUGAAGGAUGAGCUCGCGGCCUAUCAGCUUGUUGGUGGGGUAACGGCCCACCAAGGCAACGACGGGUAGCCGGCCUGAGAGGGUGACCGGCCACACUGGGACUGAGACACGGCCCAGACUCCUACGGGAGGCAGCAGUGGGGAAUAUUGGACAAUGGGCGAAAGCCUGAUCCAGCAACGCCGCGUGAGGGAUGACGGCCUUCGGGUUGUAAACCUCUUUCAGCAGGGACGAAGCGCAAGUGACGGUACCUGCAGAAGAAGCACCGGCCAACUACGUGCCAGCCGCCGCCGUAACAC